GAAUUCGCCCUUAGAGUUUGAUCCUGGCUCAGGACGAACGCUGGCGGCGCGCCUAACACAUGCAAGUCGAACGAGAGAGAGGGAGCUUGCUUCCUCAAUCGAGUGGCGAACGGGUGAGUAACGCGUGAGGAACCUGCCUCAAAGAGGGGGACAACAGUUGGAAACGACUGCUAAUACCGCAUAAGCCCACAGGUCGGCAUCGACCAGAGGGAAAAGGAGCAAUCCGCUUUGAGAUGGCCUCGCGUCCGAUUAGCUAGUUGGUGAGGUAACGGCCCACCAAGGCAACGAUCGGUAGCCGGACUGAGAGGUUGAACGGCCACAUUGGGACUGAGACACGGCCCAGACUCCUACGGGAGGCAGCAGUGGGGGAUAUUGCACAAUGGGGGAAACCCUGAUGCAGCGACGCCGCGUGGAGGAAGAAGGUUUUCGGAUUGUAAACUCCUGUCGUUAGGGACGAUAAUGACGGUACCUAACAAGAAAGCACCGACUAACUACGUGCCAGCAGCCGCGGUAAAACGUAGGGUGCAAGCGUUGUCCGGAAUUACUGGGUGUAAAGGGAGCGCAGGCGGGAAGACAAGUUGGAAGUGAAAACCAUGGGCUCAACCCAUGAAUUGCUUUCAAAACUGUUUUUCUUGAGCAGUGCAGAGGUAGAUGGAAUUCCCGGUGUAGCGGUGGAAUGCGUAGAUAUCGGGAGGAACACCAGUGGCGAAGGCGGUCUACUGGGCACCAACUGACGCUGAGGCUCGAAAGCAUGGGUAGCAAACAGGAUUAGAUACCCUGGUAGUCCAUGCCGUAAACGAUGAUUACUAGGUGUUGGGGGAUUGACCCCCUCAGUGCCGCAGUUAACACAAUAAGUAAUCCACCUGGGGAGUACGACCGCAAGGUUGAAACUCAAAGGAAUUGACGGGGGCCCGCACAAGCAGUGGAGUAUGUGGUUUAAUUCGAAGCAACGCGAAGAACCUUACCAGGUCUUGACAUCCGAUGCAUAGCACAGAGAUGUGUGAAAUCCUUCGGGACAUCGAGACAGGUGGUGCAUGGUUGUCGUCAGCUCGUGUCGUGAGAUGUUGGGUUAAGUCCCGCAACGAGCGCAACCCUUAUUGCCAGUUACUACGUUAAGAGGACUCUGGCGAGACUGCCGUUGACAAAACGGAGGAAGGUGGGGAUGACGUCAAAUCAUCAUGCCCUUUAUGACCUGGGCUACACACGUACUACAAUGGCGUUAAACAAAGAGAAGCAAGACCGCGAGGUGGAGCAAAACUCAAAAACAACGUCUCAGUUCAGAUUGCAGGCUGCAACUCGCCUGCAUGAAGUCGGAAUUGCUAGUAAUCGCGGAUCAGCAUGCCGCGGUGAAUACGUUCCCGGGCCUUGUACUCACCGCCCGUCA
rnacentral:rRNA from 1 species